UACAGAGGGUGCGAGCGUUAAUCGGAAUUACUGGGCGUAAAGCGCACGUAGGCGGCUCUGUAAGUCGGAUGUGAAAUCCCUCGGCUUAACCGAGGACGUGCAUCCGAAACUGCGGAGCUCGAGUAUGGAAGAGGGUCGCAGAAUUCCCGGUGUAGAGGUGAAAUUCGUAGAUAUCGAGAGGAACACCAGAGGCGAAAGCGAAUCACUGGACAGAAUCUGACGCUGAGGCACGAAAGCUAGGGGAGCAAACAGG
rnacentral:rRNA from 1 species